AAAAAAACCCUCUCCGAAUUAAUCUACCUGGUCCUGCUACAGCUGCAAUCUGGUUUCCUUGGCUCUGCCACUUGGAAGUUUAAAUCGGUGUGUAAGUGAAGCCGUUUUUCUCCUUCACGCCUUCGAUGUCGAACCCCCUCCCCCUGUUGCAAUGCUAUUUAAUCAGGUAGACCCGUUCUGGCCCACAAUACCAUUUCUCUUUUCUAAAAUCCAGGGUACUUCCAAAGUUCAUCUAAAAUUUCUCUCUUUCCAAUGGUACUACUUCUGAAAAUUUUGGAGCCCUUUGCAUAUAUUAUUUAUUGAUCGUGUGUUAAUUUUAUUUUUCCAAUGAGCGGAAAUCAUUAUCUUUAAGAUUCAAGGACGUUCGAGGAGUUUCCAGAACCAUUGAAGACUUUGCUGAGCAAGGCAAGCAACCUACUUUGAUCAUGUUGAACCCAUAUUUGCAUUUACACUUAGAAUUCUUUUUCAUGCAUAAAGUAUUGUUUACUAGUAUUGCUAUGUUAAGUAAAUUUGCUAGGGCUUAGCUAUGCCCCCUAUGUGCUUGAUGUUGACACCCCUUUGACAUUCUUAUGCUAAGUAGAGGGUUUAGCUAUGCUCUAUGUGCUUGAUAUUGACACCCUCCUUUGACAUUCUUAAUACCCCUCCUUUAUAACCAUGUAGUGGUCACAAAUAAAUGUGCGUCAUAUGUGCAAGUUUAAUAGUAAUACUUAGCCAUGGUAGUCGCAUGAAUCAUAGGACUUGGGAAAAAUCUUUGUUACUCAUAAAUGUUCUACAAAAACCCAAGGGUGUCACUAAUGCCCAUGGGAUGAUUCUGAAAAUAAGGUUUUACAAAAUGGAGAUGAAGUUGAGAUUUAGUUAGGUGAUUGUGAUUUUGACGAGAUAGUCAAAGACAUUCGAUGGAUUAUGAAAAUUUAUGUCUAGCAAAUGAGAAUGGUGGUUAUUAUAUUGGCGGAUAAAUGAAUCUUCCAUAAACUUGAAGCAAUUUGGAUUUAGUUAGGCGAUUAUGAUCUUGAACUAAAAUUUUUUGAUGCAUUUAUUUAGUUCAUUGUGAUCUUGAGGAGAUAGUCAAAGAUGUUCGGUGGAUUAUUAAUCUUUGCCAAUUUGGAUUUAAUUAGGUGAUUGUGAUAUUGAACCGUAUUUCAUGAUGGAUUACGAGAUUUUAGGUGGAUUUAGUUAUGUGAUUUAAUCUUAAGAAGAUAGUCUAAAAUGUUGGUUGAUUAUGAGAGUUUAGGUAUGGUAGAUGGCCAUGGUGAUUUAUUGGUGGAUAAAUAGAUCUUCAAUUUUUUUGGGAACAUUUCGGGUUUCGCUAGGUGAUUGUGAUCUUAAACCAAAUUUCAUGAUAGCUUAUGAGGUUUUGGUUGGAUUUAGUUAGGUGAUUGUGAUCUUAAACCAAAUUUCACGGUAGAUUAUGAGGUUUUGGUUGGAUUUAGUUAGGUGAUUGUGAUCUUGACGAGCUAGUAAAAGAUGUUUGGUGGAUUAUGUGAAUUUAGGCCUAGUAGGUGAGCAUGGUGGUAAUUUUAUCGGUUAAGUUAAUUUUUAAUAAACUUGAGAAAAUUUGGAUUUAGUUAGGCGAUUGUGAUCUUGAACCAAAUUUCAUGGUGGAUUACGAGAUUUUAGAUGAAUUUAGUCAGUUGAUUGUGAUCUCGAGGAGAUACUCAAUGAUAUUAGAUCAAGUAAUUAACCUUGAACAAUUUGAAUUUAGUUAGGCUAUUGUGAUAUUGAACCGAAUUUCAUGAUGAUUUAUGUGAUUUUAGGUGGAUUUAGUUAAGUUAUUAUGAUCUUAAGAAGAUGGUCAAAGAUGUUCGGUGGAUUUUAAGAUUUUAGGUCUAGUACGUGAGCAUGGCAUGGUGACUAUUAUACUGGUGAAUAAACAAACCUUUAAUUCAGGUUGAAACAAUUUGAAUUUAGUUAGAUGAUUGUGAUCUUUUAAGCAAGUUCACUGUGGAUUUUGAUGUUUGGGUUAGAUUUAGUUAGGUGAUUGUGUCCCGACGAGAUAGUCAAAGAUGUUCGAUGGAUUAUGUGAGAAUUUAUGCCUAGUAAGUAAGUACGGUGGUUAUUAUCUUAGUGGACAAAUGGAUUUUAAGUAAACUUGGAGUAAUUUGGAUUUAGUUAGGCGAUUGUGAUCUUGAACCAAAUUUCAUGGUGAAUUACAAGAUUGUAAAUGGACUUAACUAGUUGCUUGAGAUCUUGAGGAGAUAGUCCAAGAUGUUUGGUGAAUUAACUAAUCUUUUUUAACACAGGAUAGACGCAGUCGCUCAUAUAAACGCGCAUACACGCACACCCUAUCCCUAUGAGCACCUUGAGAGCUGACAUAUCAUCUUGAUAUUUUACGAAGUUACCGUGGACGCCUCGUAGUCGACGGGAACAAUUUCGAUUAAGUUCAGUGAUUGUGAUAUUGAACCAAAUUUGUCGAUGAUUUAUUUGAUUUUAGGUGGAUUCAGUUAGGUGAUUUUGUCUUGAGAAGAUAGUCAAAAUAUUCGGUGGAUUAUGAGAUUUUAAGUAUGGUAAAUGAACAUGGUGAUUAUUACAUUGGUAGAUAAACAUAUAUUUAAUUUAGUUUGGAUCAGUUUGGAUUUAGGUAGGUGAUUGUGAUCUUUUAAUCAAAUUUUACGGUGGAUUAUGAGGUUUUGGUUGGAUUUAAUUAGGUGAUCGGGAUCUUGACGAGCUAGUAAAAGAUGUAUUUGGUAGAUUAUGUGAACUUAGGUCUGGUAGCUAAGCAUGUUGGUUAUUAUAUUAGUGGAUAAAUGGAUUUUUAGUAAAUUUGAAAAAAUGGAUUUAAAUAGGAAAUUAUGAUCCUGAACCAAAUUUUAUGAUGGAUUAUCAGAUUUUUGAUGAAUUAGUUAGUUGAUUGUGAUGUUGAGGAGAUAGUCAAAGAUGUUCGAUGUAUUAAUUAGUUUUGACCAAUUUGGAUAUGGUUAGGUGAUUGUGAUAUUGAACUAGAUUUCUCUGUGAUUUAUGAUAUUUUAGUUGGAUUUAGUUAGGUGAUUGUGUCUUGAGAAGAUAAUCGAAGAUGUUUGGUGGACUAUGAGAUUUUAUAUCUAAUAAAUGAGCAUGGUGAUUAUUAUUGGUGGAUAAACAUAUAUUUAAUUUAAUUUGGAACAAUUUGGAUUUAGUUAGGUGAUUGUGAUAUUUUAACCUAAUUUAAAGUGGAUUAUAAGGUUUGGGUUGGAUUUAGUUAGGUGAUUGUGAUUUUGACGAGCUAGUAAAAGAUGUUCGAUGGACUAAGUGGAUUUAGGUCUAGUAGGUGAGCAUGUUGAUUAAUAUAUUGGUGGAUAGAGAUGAGGGCCACACACGUGACUCAAGGUGAUGAUGCCACUACUGAAAAUAACUGAUAAACAAGGCAACAGAGGGGAGACUGGAGUAGUGGCAGCAGAUGGACUUUGAUCCAGCAUCCCAUGUGCCUGUUCACUCUUCGUUCCUGGCUGUUCCGGCUUGGUGUCCUUGUCCUGUUUGCGGAUUUUGUGUCACGCACUUGAUUAAGCAUCCCACGUUCUUCUAAUGUGCGCCCUUAGCCUUGACGAUAGGUAGCGUCGUGUUCUCGGGCACGUCCCGUGGGUAAAAUUCAGGUAUGCGUCGAUUGUCUAAGCUCUUGCUUGCCAUUGGUGGUGCUUGAGCGUGCGGUUAUGGUGUCGUCCAGCAAGGGAACACGGGAUGUGGGAUCAAGACAGCACACAUGGCAACCCGCCAUCGGGCAACGGACGCCUGUCCGGACUUACAGGGAGCGAAGGUGGACACAAAGGUUGAUGUUGAGCUCCAUAGCAGUCUCAACAGUGUGCUCAUCAGUAAGAGAGCACGAGCAAGAAGAUCCUAUAUACUCCUCUUAGGAAAUAAAGAAGCCAUUAGAGGUAGAAGAAGAAACCUCAAUCUCAAGGAAGUAGUUACUUCUUUAAUAAACAUGGUGCAAUUUGGAUUUUGUUAAGCGAUUUUUAUCUUGAACCAAUUUCAUGGUGAAGUACGAGAUUUUUCAAUGGAUUUAGUCGAUUGUAAUCCUGAGGAAAUAGUUAAAGAGUUAAAGAUGUCCGGUGUAUUAAUUAAUCUUGAACAAUACGGAUUUAGUUGGGUGAUUGUGUCAUUGAACCAAAGUUCUAUGUGAUUUAUGAGAUUUUAGUUGGAUUUAGUUAGGUGAUUGUGUCUUGAGAUGAUAAUCAAAGGUGUUCGUGGAUUAUGAGAUUUUAGGUCUAGUAGAUGAGCAUGGUGAUUAUUAUAUUGGUGGAUAAACAGAUAUUUAAUUUAUUUUGGAACAAUUUGAAUUUAGUCAGGUGAUUGUGAUCUUUUAACCUAAUUUUACGGUGGAUUAUAAGGUUUGGUUGGAUUUAGUUAGGUGAUUGUGAUUUUGACGAGCUAGUAGAAGAUGUUCGAUGAAUUAUGUCAAUUUAGGUCUAGUAGGUGAGCAUGUUGAUUAUUAUAUUGAUGCAUAAAUGUGUCUUUAAUAAAUUUUGAAUAAUUUGCAUUUAGUUAGGCUAUUGUGAUAUUGAACUGAAUUGCAUGAUAGUUUAGUGAAUUUAAGUGGAUUUAGUUAAGUUAUUAUGAUCUUGAGAAGAUGGUCAAAUAUGUUCGGUGGAUUUUAAGAUUUUAGGUCUAGUACAUGAGCAUGGUGACUAUUACACUGGUGGAUAAACAGACCUUUAAUUUAGUUUGGAACAAUUUGAAUUUAGUUAGAUGAUUGUGAUCUUUUAAGCAAAUUUGCUGUGGAUUUUGAUGUUCGGGGUUAGAUUUAGUUAGUUGAUUGUGUACUGACGAGAUAUUCAAAGAUGUUCAAUGGAUUAUGUGAGUAUUUAUGCUUAGUAAGUAAGGAUGGUGGUUAUUAUAUUAGUGGAUAAAUGGAUUUUUAGUGAACUUGGAGUAAUUUAGAUUUAGUUAGGGGAUUGGGAUCUUGAACCAAAUUUCAUGGUGAAUUUCGAGAUUUUAAAUGGAUUUAAUUAGUUGCUUGAGAUCUUAGAGAUAGUCCAAGAUGUUCGAUGGAUUAACUAAUCUUUUCUUGAACACAAUACAGAUGCAAGCGCUCAUAUAAACGCGCUACACUCACCCAUAUGAAUGCAUACACGCACACUCUACCCCUAUGAGCACCUUUGAGAGACUGAGCGGACAUAUCAUCUUGAUAUUUUACGAAGUUACCGUAGACGUCUUGUAGUCGAUGCAAACAAUUUGGAUUUAGUUCGGUGAUUUAUUUGAUUGUAGUUGGAUUCAGUUAGGUGAUUGUAUCUUGAGAAGAUAGUCAAAAUAUUCAGUAGAUUAUGAGAUUUUAGGUAUGGUAAAAGAACAUGGUGAUUAAUAUAUUGGUAGAUAAACAUAUAUUUAAUUUAGUUUGGAAUUAGGUAGGUGAUUGUGAUCUUUUAAUCAAAUUUUACGGGGGAUUAUGAGGUUUUGGUUGGAUUUAGUUAGGUGAUUGGGAUCUUGAUGAGCUAAUAAAAGAUGUUUGGUAGAUUAUGUGAAUUUAGGUCUGGUAGGUGAGCAUGUUGAUUAUUAUAUUGGUGGAUAAAUGGAUUUUAAGUGAGCUUGAAAAAAUUGGAUUUAGUUAGGCGAUUGUGAUCUUGAAUCAAAUUUUAUGGUGGAUUAUCAGAUUUUUGAUGCAUUAGUUAGUUGAUUGUGAUGUUGAGGAGAUGGUCUAAGAUGUUCGAUAUAUUAAUUAAUCUUGACCAAUUUGGAUAUGGUUAGGUGAUUGUGAUAUUGAACUAUUUUUUUUGUGAUUUAUGAGAUUUUAGUUGGAUUUAGUUAGGUGAUUGUGUCUUGAGAAGAUAAUCGAAGAUGUUUGGUGGAUUAUUAGAUUUUAGAUCUAAUAAAUGAGCAUGGUGAUUAUUAUAUUGGUGGAUAAACAUAUUUAAUUUAGUUUGGAACAAUUUGGAUUUAGAUCGGUGAUUGUCAUAUUUUAACCUAAUUUAAAGUGGAUUAUAAGGUUUGGAUUGGAUUUAGUUAGGUGAUUGUGAUAUUUUAACCUAAUUUAAAGUGGAUUAUAAGGUUUGGGUUGGAUUUAGUUAGGUGAUUGUGAUUUUGACGAGCUAGUAAAAGUUGUUCGAUGGACUAAGUGAAUUUAGGUCUAGUAGGUGAGCAUGUUGAUUAAUAUAUUGGUGGAUAGAGAUGAGGGCCACACAAGUGACUCAAUGUGAUGAUGCCACUACUGAAAAUAACUGGUAAACAAGGCAACAGAGGAGAGACUGGGGUAGUGGCAGCAGAUGUACUUUGAUCCAGCAUCCCACGUGCUUGUUCACUCUUCGUUCCCCACUGUUCCGGAUUUUGUGUCACGCACUUGAUUAAGCAUCCCACGUUCUCCUAAUGUGCGUCCUUGGCCUUGACGAUAGGCAGCGCCGUGUUCUUGGGCACGUCCCGUGGGUAAAAUCCAGGUAUGCGUCGAUUGUCUAAGCUCUUGCUCGCCAUUGGUGGUGCUUGAGCGUGCGGUUAUGGUGUCGCCCAGAUCUCAAGGAAAUAGUGACUUCUUUAAUAAGCAUGGUGCAAUUUGGAUUUAGUUAGGCGAUUGUUAUCUUGAAGAAAUUUCAUGGUGAAUUACGAGAUUUUUCAAUGGAUUUAGUUGAUUGUGAUCCUGAGGAAAUAGUUAAAGAUAUUCGGUGUAUUAAUUAAUCUUGAACAAUAUGAAUUUUGUUGGGUGAUUGUGUCAUUGAACCAAAGUUCUAUGUGAUUUAUGAGAUUUUAGUUGGAUUUAGUUAGGUGAUCGUGUCUUGAGAUGAUAAUCAAAGGUGCCGGUGGAUUAUGAGAUUUUAGGUAUAGUAGAUGAGCAUAUUAUUAUAUUGGUGGAUAAAUAGAUAUUUAAUUUAUUUUGGAACAAUUUGAAUUUAGUCAGGUGAUUGUGAUCUUUUAACCUAAUUUUACGGUGGAUUAUAACGUUCUGGUUGGAUUUAGUUAGGUGAUUGUGAUUUUGACGAACUAGUAAAAGAUGUUUGGUGAAUUAUGUGAAUUUAGGUCUAGUAGGUGAGCAUGUUGAUUAUUAUAUUGGUGCAUAAAUGAAUCGUUAACAAAUUUAGAACAAUUUGGAUUUUGUUAGGUGAUUGUGACCUUGAACCAAAUUUUAUGGUGGAUUAAGAGAUUUUUGAUGGAUUAGUUGAUUGUGAUCUUGAGAAGAUAGUCAAAGAUGUUUGGCGGAUUAAUUAAUCUUGAACACUUUGGAUUUAGUUAGGUGGUUGUGAUACUCAACCGAAUUUCACGCUGGAUUAUGAGAUUUUAGGUGGAUUUAGUUAGAUGAUUGUGUCUUAAGAAUAUAGUGAAAGAUGUUUGCUGGACUAUGAGAUUUUAGGUUUAGUAGAAGAGAAUGGUGAUUAUUAUAUUGGUGGAUAAAUAUAUCUUUAAUUUAGUUUGGGACAAUUUUGAUUUAGUUAGGUGAUUGCUAUUUUUCAACAAAUUUUACUGUAGAUUUUGAGGUUUUGUUGAUUUAGUUAGGUGACUGUGAUCUCGACGAGUUAGGCAAAGAUGUUUGGUGAAUUAUGUUAAUUUAGGUCUAGUAAUUAAGUGAGCAUGGUGGUUAUUAGAUCGGUGGAUAAAUGGGCCUUUAGUAAACAUGGAGCAAUUUGGAUGUAGUUAGGUGAUUGUGAUCUUGAACAAAUUUCACGGUGGAUUAUGAGAUUUUCGAUAGAUUUAGUUAGUAGAUUGUGAUCUUGGGAAGAUGUCAAAGAAGUUCGGUGGAUUAAUUAAUCUUGAAUAAUUAGAAUUUAGUUAGAUGAUUGCGAUAUUGAACCAAAUUUCUCUGUGAUUUAUGAGAUUUUAGUUGGAUUUAGUUAGGUGAUUGUGUUUUGAGAUGAUAAUCAAAGAUGUUUUGUGGAUUAUGAGAUUUUAGGUUUAGUAGAUGAGCAUGAUGAUUACUAUAUUGAUGGAUGAAUAGAUAUUUAAUUUAGUUUGCAACAAUUUGGAUUUAGUUAGGUGAUUGUGAUCUUUUGACCAAAUUUUACGAUGGAUUGUGAGGUUUUGGUUGGAUUUUAGUUAGGUGAUUGCAAUCUUGACGAGCUAGUAAAAGAUGUUCGGUAGAUUAUGCGAAUUUAGAUCUAGUAAGUGAGCUUGUUGGUUAUUAUAUUGGUGGAUAAUUUUUUUUUUAAUAAACUUGAAUUUUUUUGGAUUUAGUUAGGCGAUUGUGAUCUUGAACCAAAUUUUAUGUUGGAUUAUGAGAUUUUUAAUGGAUUAGUUAGUUGAUUGUGAUCUUGAGGAGAUAGUCAAAGAUGUCCGGUGUAUUAAAUAAUCUUGAACAAUUUGGAUUUGGUUAGGUGGAUGUGAUAUUGAACCAAAUUUCUCUGUGAUUUAUGAGAUUUUAGUUGGAUUUAGUUAGGUGAUUAUGUCUUGAGAAGAUAGUCAAAGGUGUUUGGUGGACUAUGAGAUUUUAGGUCUAAUAGAUGAGCAUGGUAUUAUUAUAUUGGUGCAUAAAUGGAUCUUUAAUCAACCAAGGUUCCUUAUCUUGCUGUUUUUUAAAGUCAAACAACUGAUAAUGAAGUUUAUCAACAUGUAAUAAAGGGUAUACAUGUUUUCUCAUACUCAUGUAGUCCGUUCAUUCCUAAACUAUAUGUUCUUUUGUUAAAACCUUGAAAUAUUAAGAUGUUAGGGUAAAUAAAUUCCUUCAGAAUUAAUAAUAGAAAAGUUUUGCUAUGCAAUAAGAUACAGUUGUAUGCAAAAAAUAAUCUUGUCUUAUAUAGUUAUAUAUAUCAAAACUAUGGAUUUUCUAUGCACUUCCUGCAAUCAUUAAUGUUCAUCGUCUUUGUUGGGAUUUUGUUUGGCACCUGCGGCAACGCGCUGCCGGGCACGAAGGACGCUGCCAGGUCCGCGUCGACAUCGUGCUGGCCUCUGCAUGAUGAACUACACGGUUUGUUCUUCUGGCAUUAUUCAUGGUUCUCAUCAUAGCCAUACUGAAUGAUGGAGUGGCAUCUCUGAAUUUAUCAUAUGAAUUAUGACUUUAUGAGCUCGCCUGGCUACUGACCUGCUGUGUGGGAAGGGCAUCCUUUUACCAGAACUAAGGAUUUUAAUAUGCUCCAUUUCCUUCAGGUCUUUUAUUGCUACAUCCUUGAUUUAUCUGAGUCCAUUGGGGUUGCUCAUGAAUUACAGAAUUUAGGCUUACAGUAGGAUGAACUUCCCUGAGAAUCAAUAAUAGAAAAGUUUUGGUUAAGACCAAUUUCCAACGCCAGAGAGAAAAUUUACUUCACUGGUUAAUAGGAAUCCAUCUCACGUUUUCUUAUGUUGUGCCUUUCUCAAAGUAAAGAAAAAAGCAUAAGUCGGAGAGAGAAAUUACUUUACUAGUUAAGACAACUAAUUUGCAUACAAUGGCAGCAAUGCACAAGCAGUGUCAGUGUUAGCGUGUACUUAUUUCAGAGAUGGUUGGAGUGAGCAGCCACCAUCUAAUCGAAUCACAAUUAAUAGACUAGUAGGUAAAGAUAUUGGAGGGCUACUUUCAGAUCAAUUCAUGACUAUACGUAUGGUAUGAGCUAUUCCUAUUGCCGCGAACUUGUUGAACACGUCAAUACUGGUGAACAAAAAGCACAAGUGUGUGUGCAGUGCGAGCUAAGAAAGCCGGUUAAUCAUUCAGCGUUAUGCAUGGUAUUCAGUCAUGAUUGUCAAGUGUCAAGUUCAGUUUUAAAAGCUGAACCCUCAAGUGUUAAGUUUAGGUAACAGGGGCUGUGGAGUAACUGUAGCUCGUUCAAAUCCUGAAUGUCAAGUUCAGAAUAUGACACUCAAUUAUCAUGACAAAAUUUACUACUUUGGAAUGUGUGGGUGCGCUGGUUUUCGACUAGUUGAUCUAAUCAUCUUGAAUUGACAUGUUUUCUGAAUAUACUCGCAAGUCGCAACCAUGGCCUUACAGUGCUACACGCCUCUGCUGAAGCCCCAACUGGCCCAAGUCUCGGUUAACCCUUCAAUUAACACGAUACAGAUUCCAGUGCUCCGCCCCUCUGCUAAAGCCCUAACUGGCCCAAGUCUCGGCCAACCCUUCUCUAAAUCGAUGCAGAUUGCAGUGUAUGUUCGAGGAGUAGCAGAUUUUACGGAUCAUUUUUUUUUGUGGUUGCUUCAUCAAAUGGAAAUUUAAGUAACGGGAGAUUCGUCAAAUGGAAAUUUAAACCAGUUUAUGAUUUGGUUAUGCAACUGCACUUGCAAUGGUAGCAGGAACGACCUUUGCUUGGGCGACCUUCUCUGUUAUGAUAUUGUUGUCUAAGUUAAAGAACCUAAAUCUGCUCCAUGGUUUUGUUAUGUUGGAUGUGCCCCAAGAAACUUCUUUCUUUUGAUUUUUGUUGUCAAUAUAUUCUGUGGAUGCUCCUCAUACUCAUUAUGAAGUUUGGCAAAUAUCAAUUGUCUGGAUGUUCUUCAUAACUA